UCUGCUGUGGAUGUCUUCCCCAGAGAGCUAUGUGCUAGCUGUGUGCUCCGACAACAAGGGAAGCACGCAGGGCCUGCUGGAGGGGUGACAGUGAGCACGUCCAGGGUCUGAGCAAAGACAAGAAUGAGGUGUGAGCUGGCCUUGACUCUACUGUCUUUCCCCAGAGCUGAUGAUCUCCCUGCUGUGUCAGGCAGACUGGGCACGGCCUCCACAAGCCCAUUUCUAGGUCUAGGAGAAUAAUCACUGAAUACACCAAGGAUCAGAAUGGGAGCAGACCAGGCAUCAAGAGUUACUAUUCUAGGACUGGGCAUGUAACUCUGUUCCGGCCAACGAGAUGAGAAGAAACCCUACACGGUGUUGGGAGUUGCUGAGGAACCUCUUCCUCCGAGGAGGAAUGCCCCUCCCACCUUGUCU